AACCUCCACAGUCCUGCGCGGCAGCUCCUCCUCCACGCGAACACAACCACCAGAACACCUCGCCGCCGCCGAGGACGACGGCGACGAUGUGGCGUUCGCGAGCUCGUGCUCUCCUCCUCCUCCGCUCCUCCAUUCCCAGGUCGCCGCCGCCUCAUCCACCACCACAUCCCACUCCAACCCUGACCCGAGCCCCACCUCCGCGCUUUCUCUCCCGCUUCCUCUCCUCCUCUCCGGAUCCCAUCCCCGAUGCCACUUCCUCCUCCGCGGAUCCCUUCGCCGAUGCCGCUUCCUCCUCCCCCCUAGAUGAUGCCACCGAGGCCGGGGAAGACAGCUUGAGCUCGAUGUGGGAAGAGACUGGGGACGCCGACGACAUCUUCGCAUCCCCUGGCGGCGCUGACGCCGUAGCCGACGACGAGGAGGUCGCCCGCGUCCGCGCCGUCGUGGAGGCCACUCCCGAGGACAAGAUCGCCUCCACCCUCGCCGACAUGGUCGUGGACUUCAACGAGCCGCUCCUCGCCGCAGUCCUUCUUGCUGCCGAGCAAUGUUCCUGUAAGAAGCUGAUUUCCCUGUUCAACUAUGCCGCGAAGAACAACCCGGCGUCCAAGAGCCUCUCGAAUCUUGAGAUCCUCGUGAGCAAGGUAGCUGAUUCUGAUGAGAUUGACAAGAUGGACGCGUACUUGCUUUGGGAUUCGGUUAAGGAAAUUGGCUCUGUGCCAGGAUCAGUGAGCACACCGUUGUUGAAUGAAAUGAUCGCAAUAUUUUGGAAGCUUGAGAAGUCAAAGGCAGCUCUGGAGGUGUUUGCCAAGUUCGAUGAGUUUGGUUGUACUCCGGACAGUAACAGCUAUUAUCUGGUGAUUGAAGCGGCACGAAAGAAGUCAAUGUUCCGCUCUGCUUGUGAAGUUUGUGAGAAGAUGAUUGGCUCUGGCUGCUUCCCUAACGGUGAGAAGGUAGGCAGAAUUGUGACUUUCCUUUGCGACGGGAAGAAGGUGAAGGUGGCACAUUCAUUGUACCUAGCAGCAAAGGAGAAGACGACUCAGAUCCCAAAAUCAGCCUUGGAUUUCCUUGUCAGCGCUUUGGCGAGGAACGAUGAGACCAUCGGUACUGCUCUGGAGCUGCUGGAAGAGUACCAAGGGGAGUCACUUAAGCAUGCAGGCAAGUCCUUUGCCACGGUUGUACAUGCUUUGUGUAGGACAAACAAAGUGGAGGAUGCAAAUAAUUUGUUGACGAGGAUGGUGCAGCUUGAAGAGUACCAAGGGGAGUCUCUUAAGAAUGCAGACAAGACAUUUACCACAGUUAUACAUGGUUUGUGUAGGAAAAAGAAACUGCAGGAUGCAAAAACAUUGUUGAUGAGGAUGGUAGAUCUUGGCCCAGCUCCUGGUAAAGCAGUGUUUAAUUUUGUCAUCACAGCAUUGUCAAAACAGGGAGAUAUGGAGGAUGCAAAAGGUUUGAUGCGAUUGAUGGAGAGCGAAGGGGUCAGUCCUGAUAUCUACACUUACAGUGUGCUAAUGAGUGGCUACGCGAAAGGAGGCAUGAUUGAUGAAGCUCAUGCUCUACUUUGUGAAGCUAAAAAGAUUCAUCCGAAACUAAACAGGGUCUGUUAUCACAUUCUUAUCCGUGGAUACUGCAAGAUGGAGGAGUUUGAGAAAGCCAUUGAGUGCGUAAAGGAGAUGAGGAAAGAUGGGUUACUGCCAAAUGUGGAUGAGUAUGACAAACUGAUUCAGUCAUUGUGUCUCAAGGCUAUGGACUGGAGAAGAGCUGAGAAACUCCUGGAGGAAAUGGAGGAUAGUGGCUUGUGCCUUAAGGGUAUAACUCGCAGUCUCAUAGCUGCAGUCAAGGAGUUGGAAGCGGAGGCAAUGCAGUCAAAGGCAAGCCAGGAAGCAUAGUUUCUCUAGAAUACACUUGGGGUGAUACAGCUGCUAAUUAAUUUUUGGCAGCUCUUAGUUUUUUGAGCUUUGCAUCUCUGGAAGUCAAUAAGGUGGGGGCAAGCAGCCAUGAUUUUGUCCGUGUUUGUUUCAUUUGUGCAUGGUCAAUUUUGCAGGGUGAGAGCCUUGCAACUUUUUGGUUGUGACAUUUUUGUUUAUGAGAGUACUGAAACGAGAAAAUUCAGGAUAUCUCCUUUUGUAUUUCCGGUCUGCACAGUU